rnacentral:rRNA from 1 species
UUGGAGGGCAAGUCUGGUGCCAGCAGCCGCGGUAAUUCCAGCUCCAAUAGCGUAUAUUAAAGUUGUUGCAGUUAAAAAGCUCGUAGUUGAACUUCGGGAUCAAUUAGUUGGUCGUGCCUUGGUAUGUACUGAUUUUAUUGGUUCUCACCUUCUAAAGAACUAUAAUGUCAUUUAUUUGAUGUUAUAGGGAAUUAGGACUGUUACCUUGAAAAAAUUAGAGUGUUUAAAGCAGGCUCACGCUUGAAUACAUUAGCAUGGAAUAAUGAAAUAGGACAUCGCAUUCUAUUUUGUUGGUUUCUAGGAUCGAUGUAAUGAUUAAUAGGGAUAGUUGGGGGCAUUAGUAUUCAAUUGUCAGAGGUGAAAUUCUUGGAUUUAUUGAAGACUAACUACUGCGAAAGCAUUCGCCAAGGAUGUUUUCAUUAAUCAAGAACGAAAGUUAGGGGAUCGAAGACGAUCAGAUACCGUCGUAGUCUUAACCAUAAACUAUGCCGACUAGGGAUCGGAUGAUGUUGAUUUUUUAAUGACUCAUUCGGCACCUUACGGGAAACCAAAGUGUUUGGGUUC